rnacentral:rRNA from 1 species
AUACAGAGGGUGCGAGCGUUAAUCGGAAUUACUGGGCGUAAAGCGCGCGUAGGCGGUCUAUUAAGUCAGAUGUGAAAUCCCAGGGCUCAACCUUGGAACUGCAUCUGAUACUGGUAGACUAGAGUUUUGGAGAGGGAAGUAGAAUUUCAGGUGUAGCGGUGAAAUGCAUAGAGAUCUGAAGGAAUACCAGUGGCGAAGGCGACUUCCUGGCCAAAAACUGACGCUGAGGUGCGAAAGCGUGGGUAGCAAACGGGAUUAGAUACCCCUGUAGUCC